CUUAAAUAUAUAACCUAUAAGCUAUAAACGAUUCCCAGCUUAUGUGACCAACGAGAGACACAUCAAAGACGCAAAAAACAACACACAAUCGAUCAAAUAUAUUUAUUUCUACAAUGUCAAUGUACGAAUGAUAUAAAAUCGAUAAACGAUGAUGAUGGUUCUAAAUAAACAAUAAAGGUUCAUCACAAUCUAUACUUAUCCCAAGCAAAAAAGUCAUAAAUCAAAUGUUUUACCUCGUAUUUAGGCCACUUCCACGUACAAAAAACUACAAACUAUAUAUUGUAUAUGACCAAGCACAUGGAAUAAACAACUGCCCCUAACUCAUCCGGGCACUUACAUAAAUUAUCAUAAAUUACCGUCUCGAUCCUAUAAACCGUUUUUGUGUUAAUCAGCCGGCCUGCUUGGAAUCCAUUGAAAGUUCAUUGUAAAGUGUUUUUUACUAAUUGAUUUGAUUUCUAUUAUUGGUAUAACUGCCGCCGACACUCCAAAAAUAUUCAGCGUGAAUGUUUUCGUGCGACUGCAGUCGUUGACAUUGCAGUGACAGUGUUACGGAAAACUAUAAAGGCUUCAAAGUAUCUCCAUUUUAUGAAAAAAGCACAAAAAAACACCGUUCAAUUUUACGUGAGACAGAAAGCCAAGUUAAAUGUCUAUAGUUUGGUGUGUUCAACUUUAUCUUAACCUAUCUCAACGAGGAGAAAACACUAUUUUAAAUACGUCCGCGCUUUGACAAAAAAGAAAAA